AACGAACGCUGGCGGCAUGCCUAACACAUGUAAGUCGAACGAGACCUUCGGGUCUAGUGGCGCACGGGUGCGUAACGCGUGGGAACCUGCCCUUAGGUUCGGAAUAACUCCCCGAAAGGGGUGCUAAUACCGGAUAAUGUCUUCGGACCAAAGAUUUAUCGCCUUUGGAUGGGCCCGCGUUGGAUUAGCUAGUUGGUAGGGUAAAAGCCUACCAAGGCGACGAUCCAUAGCUGGUCUGAGAGGAUGAUCAGCCACACUGGGACGGAGACACGGCCCAGACCCUUCCGGAGGGCGGCGGUGGGAAUAUUGGAUAAUGGGCGAAAGCCUGAUCCAGCAAUGCCGCGUGAGUGAUGAAGGCCUUAGGGUUGUAAAGCUCUUUUACCCGGGAUGAUAAUGACAGUACCGGGAGAAUAAGCUCCGGCUAACUCCGUG
rnacentral:rRNA from 1 species